GCCUCGGUGGUGUAGUGUUCAAUACGCUCGCCUGGUAAACAGGAGGGAGGAGGGCUUGGGCUCAAUCCCAGCCGAGGUA
rnacentral:tRNA from 1 species